UCAUCAGGUUCAACUGAUGUCAAUAAACUCUUGUCUUGUUUAGUCAUUAACUUGUCAAAGUCUUGUUUAGUCAUUAAACUAGUUACAUAUUCCUACACAGUGAUGCCCCUGUAUAAUAAUACGAGAUCAGCACCCAUGACACUGCAUGACACCAUAGAAUUAGCACAGUUGCCAGUUGUGCAAUAAAGUCUAGCGUUAGUUGAAAAUGUAUCCUUGCAGAAAUAGUACAUCACAAUUCAAGAGACGGAAGUCCAAACAAUGACCCAAUGUUACUUUCCUAUUAUUUACGACGGAAUAUGCGGUUUGUGGUGCAGCGGAUGAUAUGUAAAUUUUAAUACAAAUGAAAUGACUGCA